rnacentral:rRNA from 1 species
GGGUUGUGAGGUUAAGCGACUAAGCGUACACGGUGGAUGCCCUGGCAGUCAGAGGCGAUGAAGGACGUGCUAAUCUGCGAUAAGCGUCGGUAAGGUGAUAUGAACCGUUAUAACCGGCGAUUUCCGAAUGGGGAAACCCAGUGUGAUUCGUCACACUAUCAUUAACUGAAUCCAUAGGUUAAUGAGGCGAACCGGGGGAACUGAAACAUCUAAGUACCCCGAGGAAAAGAAAUCAACCGAGAUUCCCCCAGUAGCGGCGAGCGAACGGGGAGCAGCCCAGAGCCUGAAUCAGUAUGUGUGUUAGUGGAAGCGUCUGGAAAGGCGCGCGAUACAGGGUGACAGCCCCGUACACAAAAAUGCACAUGCUGUGAGCUCGAUGAGUAGGGCGGGACACGUGGUAUCCUGUCUGAAUAUGGGGGGACCAUCCUCCAAGGCUAAAUACUCCUGACUGACCGAUAGUGAACCAGUACCGUGAGGGAAAGGCGAAAAGAACCCCGGCGAGGGGAGUGAAAAAGAACCUGAAACCGUGUACGUACAAGCAGUGGGAGCACGCUUAGGCGUGUGACUGCGUACCUUUUGUAUAAUGGGUCAGCGACUUAUAUUCUGUAGCAAGGUUAACCGAAUAGGGGAGCCGAAGGGAAACCGAGUCUUAACUGGGCGUUAAGUUGCAGGGUAUAGACCCGAAACCCGGUGAUCUAGCCAUGGGCAGGUUGAAGGUUGGGUAACACUAACUGGAGGACCGAACCGACUAAUGUUGAAAAAUUAGCGGAUGACUUGUGGCUGGGGGUGAAAGGCCAAUCAAACCGGGAGAUAGCUGGUUC